rnacentral:rRNA from 1 species
CCUACGGGAGGCAGCAGUGGGGGAUAUUGCACAAUGGGGGGAACCCUGAUGCAGCGACGCCGCGUGGGUGAAGAAGCGCCUCGGCGCGUAAAGCCCUGUCAGCAGGGAAGAAAAUGACGGUACCUGAAGAAGAAGCCCCGGCUAACUACGUGCCAGCAGCCGCGGUAAUACGUAGGGGGCAAGCGUUAUCCGGAUUUACUGGGUGUAAAGGGGGCGCAGACGGCGAUGCAAGCCAGGAGUGAAAGCCCGGGGCCCAACCCCGGGACUGCUGUUGGAACUGGGUGGCUAGAGUGCAGGAGGGGCAGGCGGAAUGCCUGGUGUAGCGGUGAAAUGCGUAGAUAUCAGGAGGAACACCGGUGGCGAAGGCGGCCUGCUGGACUACAACUGACGUUGAGGCCCGAAAGCGUGGGGAGCAAACAGGAUUAGAUACCCCAGUAGUC